rnacentral:lncRNA from 1 species
ACACAUCAUUUCACUAAACAACACCCAACUGAGAUCAGUUCAGUAUAACAACAGCCACCCAUUACAACAAUAUUUCAACAUUAGUACGUACACUUCUACCUCUGAAUUAGUGGAGCCUUUACAAAAACUUGUAGCAUCUACAAAACUAGCACUUGCACACAUACUUCACAAGAGCUACACAGAGGCACCAUCACAAACUACACAUGUCCUCCACACUCUUCACUUGGUUAUUACC